rnacentral:rRNA from 1 species
GACGAACCGUACGAACGUUAUUCGGAAUUACUGGGCUUAAAGGGUGCGUAGGCUGCGCGGAAAGUUGGGUGUGAAAUCCCUCGGCUCAACCGAGGAACUGCGCCCAAAACUGUCGUGCUCGAGGGAGACAGAGGUGAGCGGAACUUAGGGUGGAGCGGUGAAAUGCGUUGAUAUCCUAAGGAACACCGGUGGCGAAAGCGGCUCACUGGGUCUCUUCUGACGCUGAGGCACGAAAGCUAGGGUAGCGAACGGG